rnacentral:rRNA from 1 species
GAUGAACGCUGGCGGCGUGCUUAACACAUGCAAGUCGAACGAGAAGUGAAGACGGAAACCUUCGGGCGGAAGGCUUUAUUUCGAGUGGCGGACGGGUGAGUAACGCGUGGGUAACCUGCCUCAUACAGGGGGAUAACAGUUGGAAACGACUGUUAAUACCGCAUAAGACCACAGCACCGCAUGGUGCGGGGGUAAAAACUCCGGUGGUAUGAGAUGGACCCGCGUUCGAUUAGCCAGUUGGCGGGGUAACGGCCCACCAAAGCGACGAUCGAUAGCCGAUCAGAGAGGAUGACCGGCCACAGUGGGACUGAGACACGGCCCAAACUCCUACGGGAGGCAGCAGUGGGGAAUAUUGCACAAUGGGGGAAACCCUGAUGCAGCGACGCCGCGUGAGUGAAGAAGUAUUUCGGUAUAUAAAGCUCUAUCAGCAGGGAAGAAAAUGACGGUACCUGAGUAAGAAGCCCCGGCUAACUACGUG